UUGCGGUGAUGACCAUUUAGGACACCUUUGUAUCAACCGUGAAAAUAAAACACCAGUCUGAGCGAC